rnacentral:lncRNA from 1 species
UUUAUGUAUCCCUAUGGAAAAGUGUCACCAAUAAUAUACUGACCUCUUCAUCAUGAAGAAACACAUAAAACAUUUAAACACAAUCCCAGGCUCCAGUAGAAAGUGAAGAUGAGCCCCCGGGUGUGUGACAUUUCUGACACAGGCUUCUCCAACACCUGCUCGUCAGUCCAUCAGAGGAAACCUCGGGGCUGAAGACCCGCCAGCUCCCUGCAGAUUCCUUCCCAGAAUAGCAGGCGCUGAGCAGAGCGAGUCCAGCUGCAGCAGGCCAGGGUGGACCCGGGGUUUCUGUGGACAGCAACUGGCCCCCACGCUGGCCUUUUUUCAGCAUCUAAAUCGUUCUCUGCUCCGACAGCCGCUUUCCCCCUCUGACAUAUUCUUCCUUCCUGUCUGCUUUCCCCAGGGAGUCCCGGCCACAUGGUCCAGGGCAGGCUUCGUGGGGAGCUGCCCCUGAAGCUGUGGGCAGCUGUCCCCAUGUCCCUGCUUGUUGCAGCAAAUGUUCCCAGCUCUUGCUAUAUUUGAGAUUAUGUCCUUGGAGCAGACCUGGGAUGAAGUGGGUCAAAGGACGUGCCAUUUUGAUGUCGGCCAGGCGAAGAGGACUGGUUGCAGAUGCAGAGUCAUUUAAUCUGCCAUUUGCUCAGAUUAAACAGCGGCAAAUCAGCAAGCAGGCCCGCCCCAUAGAAGAGGGACUCUGGUUUAAGGUACUAACAUCAGUGAAGUUUAUUUUAACUCUCUGAAUUAAACAUACUGAAUUCAGAAUUUCUUGAUUACUCUAUAUUUUAUACCUAAAUGACUUCAAAAUUUUUUACUCUCUUGUAGGUUCACCAGGCAAGAAAGGAUGUAAAAAAAUUAAAAUGGCUUUAGCUCAUUGUGUGGUUAACUUGGGUUUUUUUUUUUUUGAUGGUUCAUGUAUUGAAUGCACACAAAUGCCAAGUAUAGGAAAAAAGGAGUUGAAAGUUUUCUUUAAUCUAACCCUCCACAGACAAUAACAAGGAUGGAAUGUGCUUGUUGCCCUUAACAAAAUAUUUGGGACAGUUUUUCCGUCUCACGUCUUGGUAUAUUAGAAAGUACAUGUUACAAAUUACUACAAUUAAUUAGGCAAAGAAUAAAGAGAAACAACAAU